rnacentral:lncRNA from 1 species
CAUGGUACUGUGUGGAAACUUGGCCUUUUUUCCUUCCUUUGGAAGAUGUCUUGGUUCAAGGAUCCAUGCUUGUGAUAAGUGGGUUGAGUGUUCUCCAAAGAAUGUCUAAGAAUGAAAAGCAAAAACAAAACAAUACUAACUUCUAACCUAUUAACUACUAACUUUUAAUUUCAAGCCCUUUACUUUAAUGUCAUUUAAUUC